rnacentral:lncRNA from 1 species
GCCUACAAAGUAGGGGAAUGGUGUGACGUUCGUCACACCAUGUGUGACGCCCGUCACAGGGGUGUGUUGCGUGACGCUCGUCACGCCUUCUGUGACGCCCGUCACAAGGCUGUGUUGCGUGACGCUCGUCACGCCCUCUGUGACGUCCGUCACAGGCACAACAUUUGUGUCUUGCGCUUUGGGCUGGGCUUUGCUGUUUGGUUCGUUUUAU